AUUGAGCGCUGGCGGCAUGCCUUACACAUGCAAGUCGAACGGUAACAGGGAGCUUGCUCCGCUGACGAGUGGCGAACGGGUGAGUAAUAUAUCGGAACGUACCUAGUAAUGGGGGAUAACUAGUCGAAAGAUUAGCUAAUACCGCAUACGCCCUAAGGGGGAGGAGAGGGGGAGUCGCAAGACCUCUUGUUAUUAGAGCGGCCGAUAUCUGAUUAGCUAGUUGGUGAGGUAAAGGCUCACCAAGGCUUCGAUCAGUAGCUGGUCUGAGAGGACGACCAGCCACACUGGAACUGAGACACGGUCCAGACUCCUACGGGAGGCAGCAGUGGGGAAUUUUGGACAAUGGGCGCAAGCCUGAUCCAGCAAUGCCGCGUGAGUGAAGAA
rnacentral:rRNA from 1 species